GAAUUGUCCUAUAUUUUGGCCGCAAUCUGGAAGCUUGUACCAAGGAAACAUCAAAAUUGAACAUUUAUCCUCAGAGCCAGAAUAUUUUGCUGGAGUUUUAAUUAGAAAAUUUCGAAUAAAAAAUCCUAAAGGGAAAAGUCGCACAGUGAAGACAUUUCACCUUUAUGGAUGGCGGAAAGAAGAGUUUGUUCCCCCCAACGUCGAUACAAUAGUGUCACUUAUUGCAAAGAUCGACAAGUGGACAAGAAAGAAUACUCCUUCACCAGUUAUUGUCACGUGCUACAAUGGUUGUAGAGCGUCUGGGUUUUACUGUGCUGCUGCUUACAUAGCUGGACAAAUUCAUGACACACGGCAGGCUGACGUGGUGCAGGCCGUACGAACAGUUAGAUUGCACAGACCAUCAUUUAUUCCUACAGUAGAUCAAUAUAGGUGGCUAUAUGAGCUAGCUUGUUUUCUGGUAUCUGAGAAGAUAUUGAAAUAACUAAUUUUGUUGGACUAAAUACUAGCAAAUAGAUGUAAAUCAGCGGCAUUUUGUUUCAUUGUGAAAAACAUCUUCCAGUAUUACGCUAUUAAACCACCGAAAUAUCAAAUUGUUUUCAGCCUCACAUUAUUUUCAAAAUUAUUUUUUACAUUUGUUAGAUUUUAUAAACGUUUAUGUCUAAU